UACCAAACUGUUGCCUCGGCGGGGUCACGCCCCGGGUGCGUCGCAGCCCCGGAACCAGGCGCCCGCCGGAGGAACCAACCAAACUCUUUCUGUAGUCCCCUCGCGGACGUAUUUCUUACAGCUCUGAGCAAAAAUUCAAAAUGAAUCAAAACUUUCAACAACGGAUCUCUUGGUUCUGGCAUCGAUGAAGAACGCAGCGAAAUGCGAUAAGUAAUGUGAAUUGCAGAAUUCAGUGAAUCAUCGAAUCUUUGAACGCACAUUGCGCCCGCCAGUAUUCUGGCGGGCAUGCCUGUCCGAGCGUCAUUUCAACCCUCGAACCCCUCCGGGGGAUCGGCGUUGGGGAUCGGGACCCCUCACACGGGUGCCGGCCCCUAAAUACAGUGGCGGUCUCGCCGCAGCCUCUCCUGCGCAGUAGUUUGCACAACUCGCACCGGGAGCGCGGCGCGUCCACGUCCGUAAAACACCCAACUUUCUGAAAUGUUGACCUCGGAUCAGGUAGGAAUACCCGCUGAACUUAAGCAUAUCAAUAAGCCGGGAGGAA
rnacentral:rRNA from 1 species